rnacentral:misc_RNA from 1 species
AACCUUAUGGACCUGCGGGCGUAUACCUGCGGAAGGAUCAUUACCGAGUGUGACCCCCCAAAAAGGGGGUACCUCCCGUCCUUUGCGGGGCCCUUUGGGGCUUUUUGAACUUUGCUUCGGCGGGGUUACUCCGCCGGAACACCCUCAAGAAAAUCUUUUAUAAACUGUUGUCUGAGUUACUUGCGAAAUAAAACAAAACUUUCAACAAUGGAUCU